GCGGGGAUAAUUCAGUGGUAGAAUGCCUGCUUGCCAAGCAGGUCGUCGCGGGUUCAAGUCCCGUUCCCCGCU
rnacentral:tRNA from 1 species